GAUGAACGCUGGCGGCGUGCCUAAUACAUGCAAGUCGAGCGAAUGGAUUAAGAGCUUGCUCUUAUGAAGUUAGCGGCGGACGGGUGAGUAACACGUGGGUAACCUGCCCAUAAGACUGGGAUAACUCCGGGAAACCGGGGCUAAUACCGGAUAACAUUUUGAACCGCAUGGUUCGAAAUUGAAAGGCGGCUUCGGCUGUCCCUUCUGGAUGGACCCGCGUCGCAUUAGCUAGUGGGUGAGGUAACGGCUCACCAAGGCAACGAUGCGUAGCCGACCUGAGAGGGUCAUCGGCCACACUGGGACUGAGACACGGCCCAGACUCCUACGGGAGGCAGCAGUAGGGAAUCUUCCGCAAUGGACGAAAGUCUGACGGAGCAACGCCGCGUGAGUGAUGAAGGCUUUCGGGUCGUAAAACUCUGUUGUUAGGGAAGAACAAGUGCUAGUUGAAUAAGCUGGCACCUUGACGGUACCUAACCAGAAAGCCACGGCUAACUACGUGCCAGCAGCCGCCGUAA
rnacentral:rRNA from 1 species